rnacentral:lncRNA from 7 species
AUGGGGCAGACCUAUGGGCUCUAUGGGGCAGAUCUCUGUGCUCUAUGGGCUCUAUGGGGCAGACGUAUGGGCUCUAUGGGCUCUAUGGGUCUCUAUGGGCCUUUAUGGGGCUCUAUGGGGCAGACCUGUGGGCUCUAUGGGGCUCUAUGGGAUCUCUGGGGCUCUAUGGGGCAGACCUAUGGGCUCUAUGGGAUCUCUGGGGCUCUAUGGGGCAGACCUAUGGGCUCUAUGGGGCAGAUUUCUGUGCUCUAUGGGAUCUCUGGGGCUCUAUGGGGCAGACCUAUGGGCUCUAUGGGGCCUCUGGGGCUCUAUGGGGCAGACCUAUGGGCUCUAUGGGGCAGACCUAUGGGCUCUAUGGGGCUCUAUGGGGCAGAUCUCUAUGGGGCUCUAUGGGCUCUAUGGGGCUCUAUGGGGCAGACCUAUGGGCUCUAUGGGGCAGAUUCUGCUGGGUAUGGCUCUAUGGGGCAUCCUCUAUGGGGCUCUAUGGGGCAGACCUAUGGGCUCUAUGGGCUCUAUGGGGCUCUAUGGGGCAGACCUAUGGGCUCUAUGGGGCUCUAUGGGCUCUAUGGGCUGUCUGGCCUCUAUGGGGCAGACCUAUGGCUAUGGGCUCUAUGUCUUGGGCUGCUAUGGGCUCUAUGGGCUCUAUGGGGCUCUAUGGGGCUCUAUGGGGCAGACCUAUGGGGCUGUUAUGGGGCUCUAUGGGGCCUAUGGGGCUCUAUGGGGCAGACCUAUGGGCUCUAUGGGCUCUAUGGGGCUCUAUGGGGCAGACCUAUGGGCUCUAUGGGGCUCUAUGGGGCAGACGUAUGGGGCUCUAUGGGGCUCUAUGGGGCAGACUAUGGGCUCUAUGGGGCUCUAUGGGGCUCUAUGGGGCAGGCUAUGGGCUCUAUGGGGUCUAGCCUAUGGGCUCUAUGGGGCAGAUGUCUCUAUGGCUCUAUGGGGCUCUAUGGGGCAGGUAUGGGCUCUAUGGGGCAGACCUAUGGGCUCUAUGGGGCAGAUUUCUGUGCUCUAGGGGCUGUAUGGGGCUCUAUGGGGCAGACCUAUGGGCUCUCUGUCCUCUGUGGGACAGAUGUAUGGGCUCUAUGGGCUCUAUGGGGCUCUAUGGGGCAGACCUAUGGGCUGUAUGGGGCUCUAUGGGGCAGACCUAUGGGCUUUGUGGGGCAGAUGUCUGCUCUGUAUGGCAUCUAUGGGAUCUCUGGCAUCUAUGGGGCUCUCUGGGGCUCUCUGGGGCUCUAUGGGGCAGACCUAUGGGCUCUAUGGGAUCUCUGGGGCUCUAUGGGGCAGACCUAUGGGCUCUAUGGGGCAGAUCUCUGUGCUCUAUGGGAUCUCUGGGGCUCUAUGGGGCAGACCUAUGGGCUCUAUGGGGCAGAUCUCUGUGCUCUAUGGGAUCUCUGGGGCUCUAUGGGGCAGACCUAUGGGCUCUAUGGGAUUUCUGGGGCUCUAUGGGGCUCUAUGGGGCUGAUGUAUGGGCUCUAUGGGAAAUUGCAGGCGAUGCUAUGAGGCUGGGAGUGCUGAGCUGUGGGGCAGGCGAUGCUAUGGGGCUGGGAGUGCUGAGCUAUGGGGCAGGGCGAUGCUAUGGGCUGUGGGGCAGGCAAUGCUAUGGGGCAGGGAGUGCUGUGCUAUGGGGCAGGCGAUGCUAUGGGGCUGACAAUGCUAUGGGGCAGGCGAUGCUAUGGGGCUGUGGGGCAGGUGAUGCUAUGGGGCUGUGGGGCAGGCAAUGCUAUGGGGCUGGGAGUGCUGAGCUAUGGGGCAGGCAAUGCUAUGGGCUGGAGUGCU